rnacentral:rRNA from 1 species
UACAGGGGGGGCAAGCGUUGUUCGGAAUUACUGGGCGUAAAGGGCUCGUAGGCGGCCAACUAAGUCACACGUGAAAUCCCCAGGCUCAACCUGGGAACUGCGUGUGAUACUGGAUGGCUUGAAUUCGGGAGAGGGAUGCAGAAUUCCAGGUGUAGCGGUGAAAUGCGUAGAUAUCUGGAGGAAUACCGGUGGCGAAGGCGGCAUCCUGGACCGACAUUGACGCUGAGGAGCGAAAGUGUGGGGAGCGAACAGG